GCCUAGGAAUCUGCCUGGUAGUGGGGGAUAACGCUCGGAAACGGACGCUAAUACCGCAUACGUCCUACGGGAGAAAGCAGGGGACCUUCGGGCCUUGCGCUAUCAGAUGAGCCUAGGUCGGAUUAGCUAGUUGGUGAGGUAAUGGCUCACCAAGGCGACGAUCCGUAACUGGUCUGAGAGGAUGAUCAGUCACACUGGAACUGAGACACGGUCCAGACUCCUACGGGAGGCAGCAGUGGGGAAUAUUGGACAAUGGGCGAAAGCCUGAUCCAGCCAUGCCGCGUGUGUGAAGAAGGUCUUCGGAUUGUAAAGCACUUUAAGUUGGGAGGAAGGGCAUUUACCUAAUACGUAAGUGUUUUGACGUUACCGACAGAAUAAGCACCGGCUAACUCUGUGCCAGCAGCCGCGGUAAUACAGAGGGUGCAAGCGUUAAUCGGAAUUACUGGGCGUAAAGCGCGCGUAGGUGGUUUGUUAAGUUGGAUGUGAAAUCCCCGGGCUCAACCUGGGAACUGCAUUCAAAACUGACAAGCUAGAGUAUGGUAGAGGGUGGUGGAAUUUCCUGUGUAGCGGUGAAAUGCGUAGAUAUAGGAAGGAACACCAGUGGCGAAGGCGACCACCUGGACUGAUACUGACACUGAGGUG
rnacentral:rRNA from 1 species